rnacentral:rRNA from 1 species
UACGGAGGGGGCUAGCGUUGUUCGGAAUUACUGGGCGUAAAGCGCACGUAGGCGGCUUUGUAAGUUAGAGGUGAAAGCCCAGGGCUCAACCCUGGAAUUGCCUUUAAGACUGCAUCGCUUGAACAUCGGAGAGGUAAGUGGAAUUCCGAGUGUAGAGGUGAAAUUCGUAGAUAUUCGGAAGAACACCAGUGGCGAAGGCGACUUACUGGACGAUUGUUGACGCUGAGGUGCGAAAAGCGUGGGGAGCAAACAGG